rnacentral:rRNA from 1 species
GCAGAGAUGUGGAGGGACACCGAUGGCGAAGGCAGCCCCCUGGGAUGACACUGACGCUCAUGUACGAAAGCGUGGGUAGCAAACAGGAUUAGAUACCCUGGUAGUCCACGCCCUAAACGAUGUCAACUGGUUGUUGGGGGAGUGAAAUCCCUUAGUAACGAAGCUAACGCGUGAAGUUGACCGCCUGGGGAGUACGGUCGCAAGAUUAAAACUCAAAGGAAUUGACGGGGACCCGCACAAGCGGUGGAUGAUGUGGAUUAAUUCGAUGCAACGCGAAAAACCUUACCUACCCUUGACAUGUCCGGAAUCCUGCUGAGAGGUGGGAGUGCCCGAAAGGGAAUCGGAACACAGGUGCUGCAUGGCUGUCGUCAGCUCGUGUCGUGAGAUGUUGGGUUAAGUCCCGCAACGAGCGCAACCCUUAUCAUUAGUUGCUACGCAAGGGCACUCUAAUGAGACUGCCGGUGACAAACCGGAGGAAGGUGGGGAUGACGUCAAGUCCUCAUGGCCCUUAUGGGUAGGGCUUCACACGUCAUACAAUGGUCGGUACAGAGGGUUGCCAAGCCGCGAGGUGGAGCCAAUCCCAGAAAGCCGAUCGUAGUCCGGAUUGUUCUCUGCAACUCGAGAGCAUGAAGUCGGAAUCGCUAGUAAUCGCGGAUCAGCAUGUCGCGGUGAAUACGUUCCCGGGUCUUGUACACACCGCCCGUCACACCAUGGGAGUGGAAUCUGGCAGAAGUAGGUAGCCUAACCGCGAGG